rnacentral:rRNA from 1 species
CAUGGUAUAGCAAUUAAAGGAGCAAUCCGCUAUGAGAUGGACCCGCGUCGCAUUAGCUAGUUGGUGAGGUAACGGCUCACCAAGGCGACGAUGCGUAGCCGACCUGAGAGGGUGAUCGGCCACAUUGGGACUGAGACACGGCCCAGACUCCUACGGGAGGCAGCAGUGGGGAAUAUUGCACAAUGGGGGAAACCCUGAUGCAGCAACGCCGCGUGAGUGAUGACGGUCUUCGGAUUGUAAAGCUCUGUCUUUAGGGACGAUAAUGACGGUACCUAAGGAGGAAGCCACGGCUAACUACGUG